rnacentral:lncRNA from 1 species
UUUACAGCCCAGAAAUUACUCCAUGUUUAAACACAGCAUCUAUUUGUGCAAAUCCAAAAAUAUGCUUCAUGUUUAUAAACAGAUAUUAAACACUCCAAAAAACGUUAAUUUCAUUCGGCCUUCAUUCUGCCCGUGCCUUCCUGCUCGUAGACUGCAUGGAUGUGGCCGUCAAAGUCUUCACAUUUCUCUUUUUCGUUCCCUUUCUGCCCUCAACAGCGAUGAUUCCACCUCUUCCAUGCUCUGCACUUCAAACUUAUUUGCAUUAGGAGGAACAUUAUGUAUGGUGGCAGCAGGUCCGAACGAAAGGCUUCCAGUGUCUUUGAUACUUUAUCUUUCUUGAUUAAUAAACCCAAUGAAGCAUCCAGAAUUUUGUUUUAUCGAAACUUUCCAUGACUGUUUCUCACAAAAAUAAAAGAGUGAUAAUUAGAAGUGCCUUGAAUCAAAUUAACUAGUUCACCAAAUAAUCCAACAUAUAUAAAUAACAACAUAAAAAAAAUUAGAACGAUAUCUUAAUGAUUCAACAAAAUAACAAGUUUCCCAGAUAAUAUUCUUCAUUAGAUCACGAGUCUCAAAAUUCAUUAUAAUUUCAGUUAGUCAUUUGCUCCAAGUGUAAGAAACAAGACCUUCUAAGUUUCUAAAAACGAAUUGAUCUUGUCCACUCUUACGUUACUAUGAUUAAUGCCACCCAAUCUACUCCAAGACUGAGAAGUUUGUUAAGUUAUUUUCUUUACUGGAUUACAAAAACUAAUUCAGGAGUUAAAUGUUAUGAAAUAAUACUAAUUAACGCAAACAAGAAUGUUAAUAGAAGAAAGCUAGUACAAGAAUGCCCGUAAAACUACAUCAAUGUAUAAAUUUCAAAAUCUGAACCAAAUUUACUUUCAUUUCCGACAACCAUGUGCAUGCCUUCUCUAAUGCAAUCAAAAAACUUGCAACUCAUUAGUCCGAUUUUGGGAGGCCGCCGAUGGAGGCUUGAAACUGAUUUCGGGGUAGGGUUUGGGUUUGAGACUUUUAGGUUGUGGUUCAUCGUUCUCACGCUUUUGGCUUCUGUAUGAUGGAUUUUGGCUUCAAUUUGAAGAAAGGUUCGAAAUUGAUUUGGGGGGUUAGGGUUUGGCUUCAUGAUUUGGGUUGAAUCU